CCUACGGGUGGCAGCAGUGAGGAAUAUUGGACAAUGGACGAGAGUCUGAACCAGCCAAGUAGCGUGAAGGAUGACUGCCCUAUGGGUGGUAAACUUCGUUUAUAUGGGAAUAAAACGUUCCACGUGUGGGAUUUUGUAUGUACCAUAUGAAUAAGGAUCGGCUAACGCCGUGCCAGCAGCCGCGGUAGUACGUAGGUGCCGAGCGUUAUCCGGAUUUAUUGGGUUUAAAGGGAGCGUAGGUGGAUUGUUAAGUCAGUUGUGAAAGUUUGCGGCUCAACCGUAAAAUUGCAGUUGAAACUGGCAGUCUUGAGUACAGUAGAGGUGGGCGGAAUUCGUGGUGUAGCGGUGACAUGCUUAGAUCUCACGAAGAACUCCGAUUGCGAAGGCAGUUCACUGGACUGCAACUGACACUGAGGCUCGAAAGUGUGGGUAUCAAACAGGAUUAGCUACCCUUGUAGUC
rnacentral:rRNA from 1 species